rnacentral:tRNA from 1 species
GGAGAGGUGGCUGAGUGGCCGAAAGCGGCGCUUUGCUAAAGCGUUGUAGGGACAAAAAACCCUACCGGGGGUUCGAAUCCCCCCCUCUCCGCCA